GUUUUGAUAAAUCUCCCCCAUAGUCUAUACUGACAGGGGGGUUCAUAUCGAGAGACAACCCUUGUAAGAUAAAUGCAACUAUGGAAGCGAAUAGAAUUUCCGAGACUCCGGCGAAGCAUGUGAUUGUGCGUAAUCCCAUAAAUAUGUUUUCUCCAACCAUUGUGCCCCUGUAUGGAGCUGAAUGACUGAUAUUUAAGUGAUCGACUUGUGACAGCUUGUAGUGCUGACUCAGCAGAGAGGAUUUUGUCAGACGAAGCUGAGGCAUCGCACUAGCUGCAGACGAAGAAGACACCACAAUGGGCUCAGAGGACCAUCAAAGAGACAAAAACAACAUAUGCCUUUACUUCUGAAGGUUUUUUUUUUUUUUUUGAUGCAUCCCCUACAGGAAAAACACUAUCCAGAAAAAAUGAAGAUGCAGUGGGUGCCAGCAUCCAAGGUUCCUCCUAAGUCUAUUCAACCAAGAGACGCAGCACUCCAAGAAUCAGCAAAGGUGUAUUUAUUCCAUCAUAUCCAGUCAACAAGCAACGUUUCUUCUCUCUAUGGAGCCAUUUUCAAGCUUAUUCGACGCCGCGCCGUUUAGGAGGCGGCGUCUCGGACUGACAAAGGGGGGUUAAAUAAAGUUAUAAGAAAAUUGAAUGAGGAGCUGGAGAAAUAGGGUUGGAACUUAUAAGUGUAGGAGUACAGGAAUAGGCUAGGUUAACAGGAAGGGGAGGAGUAGUAAUAGGGGAUAAAAUGUGUUGCCGGGGCUUCCGGCUUCCUCUUUGUGGAGUCCCCGGCAAGUGUGAAGAUUCCCGCCCACCCACCCCUUUUUACGUUAUGUUUUGGUUUUAUAUAAAAAAAAUUAAAAAAUAUCUAUA